AAAUUGAAGAGUUUGAUCAUGGCUCAGAUUGAACGCUGGCGGCAGGCCUAACACAUGCAAGUCGAACGGUAACAGGAAACAGCUUGCUGUUUCGCUGACGAGUGGCGGACGGGUGAGUAAUGUCUGGGAAACUGCCUGAUGGAGGGGGAUAACU
rnacentral:rRNA from 1 species